rnacentral:rRNA from 1 species
CUACGGGUUGCAGCAGUGAGGAAUUUUGCGCAAUGGGGGGAACCCUGACGCAGCAACGCCGCGUGAGUGAUGAAGGCCUUCGGGUCGUAAAGCUUUGUCAAGUGGGAAGAACCUAUGCAGUGUUAAUAUCAUUAUAUACUGACGGUACCACUGAAGGAAGCACCGGCUAACUCCGUGCCAGCAGCCGCGGUAAUACGGGGGGUGCAAGCGUUAUUCGGAAUCAUUGGGCGUAAAGGGCACGUAGGCGGCCUGGUAAGUCAGAUGUGAAAGCCCGGGGCUUAACCCCGGAAGUGCAUUUGAUACUGUCAGGCUUGAGUAUGGGAGAGGGAAGUGGAAUUCCUGGUGUAGAGGUGAAAUUCGUAGAUAUCAGGAGGAACACCGGUGGCGAAGGCGACUUCCUGGACCAAUACUGACGCUGAGGUGCGAAGGCGUGGGUAGCAAACAGGAUUAGAUACCCUCGUAGUC